CCAGCGGAAGGUGUGGUCGGUGGACACCCAGAGGCUCUCCGGCGGCGGCUGGUUGAAGAGGAAGGGGACGAAGUCCAGGACGCUGAACGCAGCCUUCAAAAGGGAGCAAAGGCCAGCGCCAGCAUCCCAAGUGGGCACUGGUUCGAGUCCCGGCUGCUCCUCUUCCGAUCCAGCCAUGUGCCAAGGCCUGGGAAAGCAGUAGAAGAUGGCUGCGUCCUUGGGCCCCUGCACCUGCGUGGAGACCCUGAAGAAGCUUCUGGCUCCUGGCUUUGGAUUGGCCCAGCUCUGGCUGUUAUGGUCUUUUGGGGAGUGAACCAGGGGAUGGAAGACACCUUUCUCUCUGUUUCUCCCUCUCCCUCUCUUUCUCAAAUAAGUAAAAUCUUUUUUUAAAAAAUAAUUCCUUCCUGCAAGGAUCAUGGUGGGAAUGAAGUGAACUGUGUGAUUUCCUGCCUCUACACAGCUUAACCUCCCUGAAGUCAGGGUGCGUCUCCGAGGCAGCACGGCCGGUAACGGCUGUCCGCAGGCGGGCGUCCCCGUGGCCUGACUGUGCGUGUUGCCGCUUCGAUCGGGGAGCACUGUCAGUGCAUGGGUGCAGUUCGAGUGCUAUUUUCAAAUGUCUUCCAAAGGUUCUGCUUUAGAAGCGAAUGCUGGGUCCGCUGUUGUGGCGCAGUGGGUUAAGCUGCUACCUGCGAUGCUGGCAUCCCGUAUCAGAGCGCCGGUUCGAAUCCUGGCUGCUCUGCUUCCGAUCCAGCUCCCUGCUAAUGCUAAAGCAUCGGAAGGUGGCCCAAGUGCUUGGGCCCCUGCACCCACACGGGAGACCUGGAGGAAGCUCCUGGCUUCACCCUGGCCCAGCCCUGGCUGUUGUGGUCAUUUGGGGGAGUGAACCAGCAGACGGAGGAUCUCUCUCUCUCUCUCUCUCUCUCUGAAUUGUGCCAUCUUUCAAAUAAAUAUUGAAAUAAAUCUUAAAAGAAG